rnacentral:lncRNA from 1 species
AGCCUCAAACUCCUGGACUCAAUGGGGUCCUCCCACCUCAGCAUCCUGAGUAGCUGGGCCUACAGGUUAUAUGUAUUUUGAAACAGGAAAUCUCGCCAUCCUCACCAAAGCCAUUUCCUUGAGAGGAUUUUAUCUGGUUUGUCUCCUUGACUCCAGGCAGGGCUCCAUUCCAACCAGAUGGAAGAAUGCAGACAUCUCACAUCAUUUACACCCAGAAGGCUGUCAGCAGCAGCGCUCAGGGAGUGAGAGUGUUUAAUCUCGAGGAGGAAAUAGAAUGUAUACACACCCUGCAAACUGAGAUGUUUUACGUUGGCUCUGGCUCCUACCGCCCCCCAUGUGUGGCAGCAGCUACCAAGACUCUACUGUGAAUCCCCAUGACUGCAAUGAGAAUGAACAAAAUGAACAACCUGCAGCAACAUGAAUGGACCUCACAAGGAUAAUGUUGAACAUAAGAAGCCAGGCACAAAAGAGUGCAUAUUUUUGUGUCUGACUCCAUUACAUGAAGUUCAAGAAGAAGAAACAUUAAUGUAUGGUUUUGGAAGGCAGGAUGUGGGGAGGUAGUUGGGGCAUGAGGAGGUUUUGGGGGUACAGGGUGGUGGCAGUGUUUUGCUUCUGGUUCUGGGGGAUGGCUAAGUGUGUGUUCAUUUCAUGUAAGUUCAUAUGCAUUUGUGCAAUUGCCUGUAAAGUUGUCAUACUUCGAUAAUAUUAAAAAUAUGAAAAAUAAAAAUAUAAAGCCCAUAUGGGAGAGCACACUUCUCUGCAUUUUUUUUGCACUUUGGCGAUGAGCUGACAGAGGGGUUGUUAACAAGCACCCUACUUGCUCACUGUGCUUGGUAGGAUCCUCAACCUAGCGAGUCCCACCCCAUUCC